CACUUCAACAACCUUUUUCUAGUAUCCCUAGGUAGUGGUGAGCGUCGAAGUGAGUGAAAGUCUGGUGCCGCAACACGCGAUCCUUGUAAUUUAUUUUAUUACUGGAGAGAGGGGUCUUUAGUGCCAUAUUUUCACAUUAUUCUUACCAUCUUUUGCAGAUAGCUAGAAUCUUCGAUGAGUGGAAACCAACAACCUAACUAAGGAAAGGAGCGGAGUAGAAGGUUAUACGAUACACCUUCUCCUUAAAACUCAUUUCUUAGGUGCUCGCCUGUCUAUUGAAUAGGAGAAAGAAAAGAUCUCGACGAGGAGUUAGAUUGAGAGAGGAGAACGACCCCAACCCCCCGGUGAUCCAAAUUAAUAUAAUGGAUGUUGAAAGUGCAAAGAAUAUCAUCGUUCCAAGUUCUGUUCGAGGUCAUCAAAUUUUCGUGAUUGAUCCUAGCACUACUUCAUUAAUGCACACAGCAGCCAUCCUCAAAGAGCAUUAUUAUAAAGAAAGGGAGAGCCAAUAUGACCUUAUCAUUGCUGAAGUCAACAUGCAAGAGAUGGACGGAUUCAUAUUUCUCAAGCACAUUUUGCGUCAAAAAACAUUCCAAUUAUUUUGAUGUCUGAUAAAGCAAACAUGGAGUUUUCCAAGAGAGCCAUGCUUUUUUUGGCGAAAACCAUUAAGGGUGAAUGAUCUCAUCAAUGUUUGGCAGCAUAUUAUUUGCAACAAAGUCAAAGAAAACGCUCAAAAAGUGAACAAAGGGGCGGCAGGUGGUCCAAAGAAAGGUAGAGUUGACGAGCUUGGACUUCAAUACUCUUCAUUUAGCUCUUCACCGAUGUUGUCUGAUGCUUCUAGUUUGAAAAAAAACGGACGAAAUGGAAAUGAUGCGAAGUCAAAUCGCAGAGCUAGUGCAAAAGUGUGAAACUUACAACGCGAACUUUGCUAAAAUCCAGAAGUUCAUGAAGAAACACAUGGCACAGAUAUCUGAUGAUGAGAAAUAGACUAAAUCCUAUAAGGAUUAGACCGUAUUGUUGUUGGUUAUUAUUUUUUAUUGUGACAUUUAAACUAUUUAGACUUGAAAUUUCUCUUGGUUGUUGGUUUGGGAUGUUUAGACUAUUUCAAAUUGAUGUUCGUUCGGGAUGUUUCAAAUGCGUCAA